GACUGAACAAACCUGUAAAACUACCCGACUUCUCUUAGUUCUUCAGUUUGACUUUAGCUGUCUAAACAUGAUUAAGAAGCUACUGGAGCUGCUCUUUCUCUGUCAUUCUGCAUCUCCAGGUGUCAAGCCUCCACCUAUUGGCCAGUUCAAAGUUGAUUGGCAUGUGUCUAUUGGCUGGUCUAGGCACAGUGGGCCAAUCACUCUCCUGGGAUCACUACAAAUGAGCAGCUCCCUGGCCAGCUGGUGGCUGCUGGCUUCUGCUUUAUGACAAACAUCAAACAUUUGUGAAAAGGCUUCUUUGUAUUGUGUGUGGUGGGAGGCUGGACAGUGAAACCCUCACUGAUGCAUUUUCUUACUGGAUCCUCUGGAGCUUCAAACAUCCCAGACUUUGUGGCUGCUGGAAAGAUUGAUGGCGUUGAGGCUAGUUACUGUGACACCAGCAACAAAAUAAUACAGCCAAGACAGGACUGGGUGAAACAAAUAUUACACCAUGAAACUCAACACUCAGAGAUGUACACUAAUCUCUGUUUUAAGAAUCUGCCAGAAUUUCUUGAAGAAUUAAUUUUUACAUUGAAGCAGCAGUUCAACCAAACUGGAGGUGUCCACAUUGUACAGAGGAUUGAUGGCUGUGAAUUUUGCAUCCUUUAAAUUCACAUUGGCAUUAAAAGGUUUUACAAGUGGAAUCCAGUGUGCAUGCCAUGGGAAAAACAGAGAGACUGUAGGAGGAACACAGUCUGUUUAAUGUUUAAUUUUUUCUGACUCAGACAACUUUGGCCCAGCCUAAAAGAAAAUAGAACAUGAACAAGUCACGUAACCACUUGCAGUUGUUUUUUGUCUGUUGUUUUUCUUGUGUUAAUGAAUGUGAAAAUGGAAAAAAAGAUGAAGUGUGUGCUUAUAUUACUCCUCUGUUGUCAUGCUGCAUCUCCAGUAAAACACUCCCUGAAGUUUUUCUCCACUGUAACCUCUGGAGUCCAGAGUAUCCCAGAGUUUGUGGCUGGUGCACUUGUUGAUGAAGUUCAGAUAGGUGACUUCAACAGUGUAAGAGGAGCAGAGCUAAAGAAAGACUGGAUUAAAUUCUUUGAGGAUCAUCCGCAGCACCUGGAGUGGUAUAGUUUGCAAUCUCUGGACAGUCAUCACUUCUUCAAGGCUACCAUUGAGACUUUGAGGCAACUUUUGAACCAAACUGAAGGUGUUCAUAUCAUGCAGAGACUGAAUGGCUGUGAGUGGAAUGAUGAGACUGGUGAGGUUAAUGGGUUCAAUCUGUACAGUUAUGAUGGAGAAGACUUUCUAGCAUUGGACCUGCAGACACUGACAUGGAUCACUCCAAAACCACAGGCUGUCCUCACCAAACUGAGAUGGGAUGCUCAAAAAGAUCGAUUAAAAUUAAACAAAAACUUUUUAGGUCAUCGGUGCCCUGAGUUUUUAAAGGAGUAUUUGCAGUAUGGCAGGAGCUUUCUGCAGACAGCAGUUCUUCCCUCAGUGUCUCUCCUCCAGAAGACUCCCUCCUCUCCAGUCAGCUGCCACGCUACAGGUUUCUAUCCUGACAGAGGUUUGAUGUUCUGGAGGAAAGAUGGAGAGGAGCUUCAUGAAGGUGUAGAUCCUGGAGAGAUCCUCCCCAACAAUGAUGGGACCUUCCAGAUGAGUGUUGAUUUGAAACUUUCAUCAGUCACACCUGAAGACUGGCAGAGGUACGAUUGUGUGUUUCAGUUCUCUGGUGUGAACGAGGACAUCAUCACCAAACUGGACAAAACGGCGAUCAGGACCAACUGGGAAAAGCCCACUGACAUGGGAACCUUCAUCGGUGCUGCAGUGAUUGUUCUAGCUUUCACCAUCAUCACAGCUGUGACAUUCUUGACCUACAUAAAUAAAAAAUCUCCUGACGAUGGCUCUGAGCAGUCUGAGAGACUAGAUCCACAACGCUGACUGUCCUAAGAAGUUCUUCACUCCGCUCUCUGUAUGACUUUCCUCCAGCUGCUGCCGUCACCUCAGUGUUUCAAAUACAUAUGUUAAAAACACCAGUGAAUAAAUUAGGCACAGGUAAUGAUCACAUUCUGCUGCACUUGUUGUAAAUUAGUGCAUGGUCAGACAUCUGUAUGCAGCUCCUGUGUGUACAUUUCAUGCAUUUGUGAUUUUAUUUUGCUUCAGUAUGUAGUCAUGGCAUCGAUGCAGCGGUAUCACAAGUCUUCUACAAAGCAAAACUAACUUUAUUGAUGGAUAUGUAUCUGAUGAUGACCGUUUGUUAGAACUGAAGUGUGUAAUUUUAUUGAGAAAUUGGAAAUGUACAAAGCAUGUGGUAUUUUCCAAAUGACACCAAAAUAUCUGAAGGAUGACAGCAACAGACUCUCAUUUGGAAAUAAAAUUUUGUCAUUUUAUUAUUUCA